rnacentral:rRNA from 1 species
UACGAAGGGGACUAGCGUUGUUCGGAAUCACUGGGCGUAAAGCGCACGUAGGCGGCUUGGUAAGUUAGAGGUGAAAGCCUGGAGCUCAACUCCAGAAUUGCCUUUAAGACUGCCGAGCUAGCAGGUGAGAGAGGUGAGUGGAAUUCCGAGUGUAGAGGUGAAAUUCGUAGAUAUUCGGAAGAACACCAGUGGCGAAGGCGGCUCACUGGCUCAUACUGGACGCUGAGGUGCGAAAGCGUGGGGAGCAAACAGG